AUGCUGGGGAGUAUAAUGAGCAGACUUUGCCACAGGUUUUCUUCUUGCAGAGAGGAGGGGAAAGCCCUGUAGUUCGACACCAAAACAGCAGCAGUGCGAUGGUGCGGCUUUGGGCAGAUCUGGAACCAAUUUCUUUGCACCCUUCCGGAGGCGGAAGGCUCCAUCCCUCCAACAGGGCAGCUCAUUGGCUGAGAGGACUUUGCUAGGCUUUUCCUGACUCUCCCUUGGAAGAGACGGGCGCUCCUGCAGGGAGAUCAGCCUCAGCGACGGGAAGAGACUGGAAUAGCUCGGGGCGCAGAUCCGUUCUUGCAUCUCGCGAGGGUCAGCUCUUUAAUGUCACUCCUCUCAAAAAAAAAACAACAACCCAGCCAGGCCUGUCUCGAGAAAGGAGGAUUUCCUCCCUUUCCACAAGCUACUGAGCCAUACCGCGACUGCAGGAAAGAAAGCAAGGAUCAGACAGGUAGCCCAACGCCUUCUGCAAGGGCAGGGAUCCACUGAGCCACCUGGAAAGGAGCACUGAGCUUGCUGGGAACCCUCAGGCAGCCACAGACAACUGAACAAACCCCUUUGUGUCGGCAUACAAGGGACCUGGGCCUGAUCUUAGGCCUGCUGAAGUCAACAGGAAGACACGCCCCUAUUUUUUUUUUUUUUUACAGAUCAAGAUAAUGAGACAGAAAAAGGGUAAGUGACUUGCCCAAGACCACAUAGCAAAUAAGUGGCAGAACCUGGUUUAAAACCCAAGUUUCCUGCCUACCAAUCCGAUGCCCUGUGGCCUGGCCCAUGCUGCCAUGAGUUCCACGCUGCAGUGCAGGGAAGCGAACUGCACUUCCAACACAUGCUUGCAUGUUGCUCCUUCACCUCCCAAGACCUCGGUUCAAAUGCAAAGCAGGACACAACCACCAGCAGAAGCUGGUCAUCUCCAGCUCCCAACAGGCUUCAGCGGAAAUAGAACAUGAGAGGAGCACAAAGAGAGGAGGAAUCUGCAAUUCCAGCCCCAGAUCAAAAGCUGGAGACUGAGGUCAGUCCUCAGUGCGGCCUAGGUAAACAGCUGUCCUUCAUGAUAACACGUGUACACAAAGGUGGCUGGGCUUCCCACCCUCAGCUGCCCAUUUGGUGCGGAUUUUCUGCUCAAUUUAAGGCAGCAAUUCAA